GACGACCGGUGUCCAUAGGGCAUUGUAGUACGUACCAGACAGUCUAGCACUGAGGUAUGCCCCAUGACUGAACUGUCUGUCUACGAGCACAGUAGAUCUCGCAAUGACGAGUCGACGAGCACGCCGUGAUGAUGAGCUUCCGGUCGUAACUCUGUGUUAAGGAGACAGUGCUAGUUGAUUAGCUGCACUGACGGUACUUACAGAAAGCACGCUACUACGUGCCAGCAGCGCGUUAUACGUAGGUGCAAGCGUUAUCGAAUUAUGGCGUAAGCCGCGCGCAGGUGUUUUCUUAAGUCUGAUGUGAAAGGCCACGCUCAACGUGGAGGGUCAUUUGGAAACUGGAAGACUUGAGUGCAGAAGGAGGAAAGUGGAAUUCCAUGUGUAGGCGGUGAAAUGCGUAAGAGAUAUGAAGGAACACCAGUGGCGAAGGGCGACUUUUCUGUUCUGUAACUGACAUUGAGGCGCAAAAGCGUGGGGAGCAAACAGGAUUAGAUACCUUGUUAGUCCACCCGGUAAACGAUGAGUGCUAAGUGUUAGAGGGGUUUCCGCCCUUUAGUGCUGAAGUUAACGCAUUAACCAUUCCCCCUGGGGAGUACGCCCCCAAGGUUGAAACUCAAAGAAAUUGACGGGGGCCCGCACAAGCGGUGGAGCAUGUGGUUUAUUUGGAAGCAACGGAAAGACCCUUACCAGUUCUGGACUUCUUCUGACAACCCUAGAGAUAGGGUUUUUCUUUCGGGAGCAGAGUGCCAGGUGGGGCAUGGUUUUCUUCAGCUCGUUUCGGGAGAUGUUGGGUUAAGUCCCGCAACGAGCGCAACCCUGGUUUUUAGUUCCCAUCAUUAAGUUGGCCAUUUUAAGGUGACUCCCGGGGCCAAACCGGAGGAAGGGGGGGAGGACGUCAAUUCUUCAUCCCCCUUAUGCCUUGGGUUACCCACGUGUUCCAAUGGACGGUCCAAAGAGCUGCAAGCCCGGGAGGGGGAGUUAUUUUCAUAAACCCGUUUUCAGUUGGGAUUGUAGGCUGCAAUUCCCUUCCAGGAAGCGGGAAUCGUUGGUAAUCGCGGAUCACCAUGCCGCGGGGAAUACGUUCCCGGCCCUGGUCCCCCCCGCCCGUCCCACCACGGGAGUUGGUACCACCGGAAGUGGGUGGGGUAACCUUUGGAGCCAGCCGCAUAAGGUGAACAGGAAGGUU
rnacentral:rRNA from 1 species